AUGAACUCUGGCGGCGUGCCUCAUACAUGCAAGUCGAGCGAACAGACGAGGAGCUUGCUCCUCUGACGUUAGCGGCGGACGGGUGAGUAACACGUGGAUAACCUACCUAUAAGACUGGGAUAACUUCGGGAAACCGGAGCUAAUACCGGAUAAUAUAUUGAACCGCAUGGUUCAAUAGUGAAAGACGGUUUUGCUGUCACUUAUAGAUGGAUCCGCGCCGCAUUAGCUAGUUGGUAAGGUAACGGCUUACCAAGGCAACGAUGCGUAGCCGACCUGAGAGGGUGAUCGGCCACACUGGAACUGAGACACGGUCCAGACUCCUACGGGAGGCAGCAGUAGGGAAUCUUCCGCAAUGGGCGAAAGCCUGACGGAGCAACGCCGCGUGAGUGAUGAAGGUCUUCGGAUCGUAAAACUCUGUUAUUAGGGAAGAACAAAUGUGUAAGUAACUAUGCACGUCUUGACGGUACCUAAUCAGAAAGCCACGGCUAACUACGUG
rnacentral:rRNA from 1 species